GGGAGGUAGGAGAAGAGGGGGCCAAGAGGAAGAGGAGGGCGGAGCGCAGCCUGGGUCUAGCUGAGCCUGAGCAGGUCCUCAGCUCACGGUGAUGCGGCCUGUGGUCCACCCGGCGAAGGCAGGUCUGUGUCAGAAUCAAGCCUUUUUGACCGGAAGGAAAGAAUGUCCCCCCUCCUCCUUUUUCUGCAGUAAAGGUGCUCCCUCUCGUCUGGCUGGGUCCCUCCACCUUCAAACUGCCCCACCCACCCGUUCCCGCCUUAGGUCCCCCUCCCCCCAGAUGCACAUCUCCAGGAUCCCAAUCUCUGCAAAUCAUUGGCAAUAUUUAUUCUCCCGGUGACUGAAACCCCCAAGAAAGAAAACCCUGGGUGUGGAAAUACGCCCCAGUGCCGCAAUCCCCGCGGUGCUCCUGCGUUAGGGGUAGAACACUAUGGCAGACGGAACUGAGGCCUCUGGGGAAAAGACCCCUGUAUGGCAACGAGUUUGUCUUUCCGAUUGAUGUCAAAACACGAGCGUCAGAGGAAAAUCCGUGCGGUGGUGCUGAGGUUCUCUGCUCCUGCGACUCCGUGGUGCCCCACGACGUCCGAAGCUAUUGACGGCUGAAACCAAGUACUGCGUGCGGCUGGUCACUUGCAACCACAUUAUUAGAUUGUAUUUACUUAUCCAAUUCAGACUUGCCGGCCAAGGGACCGCCACCACAACUUCUCAAAAGUGAUGUUUCCCCAAAAUAGCAAAUUCGGUCUCAAUUGGUGGCAGUUUUUGGCCCCAUAGAAUGGAGCUACUUGUUUCCCUUUUGGCGGUAUAACUGGAACUUAUAAGAGUGAAAAAGUACAGUGAAAUGGAGUGCCAUGAAAUUACUGUAUUUUUAGAUACAGAAGGACUCCAAAUUACCCACCAAAUAGGACAUUGUAAAUUCCUGUUAAAAUCGUUGUCUUCAAUUUUCCCCUCCAGCAACCUGAUGAGGUCUUUAAAAGCACACAAGUAAAUCCACCCUCGGAAGGCAGCUCGCCCCAGCCCUUGCCUCGUUUCCCAGGGCUGCUUUUUGUCGUGGCAUUCUGGAAUCAUCCCACUUCAUCUCUCACCUGAAUCUUGUCAUCUCGGCCAUCUUGACGUGAUCUGUGAACAAUGCUGAUCCCUGCGACAGGCCCGCUGGUCAAUCAGGCAGAACAGACUAUGCAAAUGCAGUGGAGAGGCGAAGCGCCGGGGAACACUGGCGCCCAUUGUCUUGGGCAUUUCAAAGCGCGGAGCAGCUGCGCAGACUUGUCGCCUCGGACCCUCGGUUGCCACACUAAUGUCAUCAUUGCAAAACAUCAGGUUCGAAAACUUUAAAACCCUUCCUUGGGGUUUCUGAGGUCGGACCUCUGACUCGGGCAACUCUGAAGUUUUGAGGUUUUUGAGUUUUCUCUUAAGCGUUGUUUGCAAGUUUAAAUUCGCCGAGAGGUAACAAGGGGUGAAUUUAACAGACACCAUCUUCUACUUUCAUAAUAACGCCGGAGAGAGAUUUUGAAAUUAUUUUCUUUAGAUUGAACUCAAAACAAUACACGUUAGAGCAAUUGCGUGCCACAAAGCAAACGAGUUACUUACACGAGGCAGCGGCGUUGUUACAAACGGCUCCCAAUUUAGAGUGCCCACCGUGACACAAGUCUUAGUGAUUUAUGUAAUUGUUCUCCCGAUUGCUGAGAUUAUGAAUCUUCCCCCUCUCCAUCGCCUCUCCCCGCCCCACCCCCAACUUUGAGUGUGAUCUCCGGUUUGGGGCCCCCAAACAGGAAGGCGGGAAGGAUGCCCUUGGUGCUGGAGGUGACGGCCCAUGAGGGCGGUGCUGAGCGCUGGGGCGCGGGCGGGGAAUGCGUUGGGUCCCUCCGGACCCUCACGUGUGGGCGCUGGACCCUUGUGGCGCACGGGCCGUGGUCAGGUCCAAGAGACGCCCCAGUCAGGUCCGAGGGACGCCAAGGCCCAGUGGAGCUUUGCUGUCCAGACUUCUGGAGGCCCCAGGGCUCCGGAGAAGGCAGUUUUCCUCUCUUAUCAAGCUUCUGUCCUCCCCAGGCCCACCGAUCUGUUAACCUGUCCUUUCUCUGCUUCUUUACAGGAUCCCAUGUCCUCGAUUCUCUCCCUACCUCAUCCAUGGUCUGGAAAUUUUUUUCAGGAAAAGGCAGUCAACACAGAGAAGGCCAACCAAGCCAAUUUCUAGCCCAGAGCUGAAAACAUAAGCAUAGAAGUUGAAGGCAGUGAAGGGCCAGGUUCUCCCCUGUGAGCACCGCCCCCGCCCCCCCCCCCCCACCACCACUGGAGCCCUGCAGCCUCUUGGUUCCUUAACAAACUGUGGAGUAGGAUUUGGAAAACGAUUGCCACCAAAUAAUGCUUUUGUAAACACAACAA